rnacentral:rRNA from 1 species
AACGAACGCUGGCGGCAUGCCUAACACAUGCAAGUCGAACGAGCCCUUCGGGUCUAGUGGCGCACGGGUGCGUAACGCGUGGGAACCUGCCCUUAGGUUCGGAAUAACUCCCCGAAAGGGGUGCUAAUACCGGAUAAUGUCUUCGGACCAAAGAUUUAUCGCCUUUGGAUGGGCCCGCGUUGGAUUAGCUAGUUGGUAGGGUAAAAGCAUACCAAGGCGACGAUGCAUAGCUGGUCUGAGAGGAUGGUCAGCCACACUGGGACGAAGACACGGCCCAGACUCCUCCGGGAUGGAGGAAUGGGUAAUAGUGGACCAUGGGCGAAAGCCUGAUCCAGCAAUGCCGCGUGAGUGAUGAAGGCCGUAGGGUUGUAAAGCUCUUUUAACCGGGAUGAUAAUGACAGUACCGGGAGAAUAAGCUCCGGCUAACUCCGUG